GCCUAAAUGCAGGCGUGCAUGCAAAAAUAAGUAAAUAAAUAAAGUUUAUUAAAAAAUUAAAAUUAGAUUCAAAUAAUCAUAGAUUUAUCUCUAUCUAAUCAAACUUCUCAAAAUUAUCAAACUACUGAGCAUCAAUAAUCACAGAAAAAUACAUAAUAUGAAUAUAGACAUCAUCAUUAAUAUCAUUUUAUUUUUCUCUUAAAGAGAACACUAUAAGAACUUGUUAGAAA
rnacentral:misc_RNA from 1 species